AGUGAACGCUGGCGGUAGGCCUAACACAUGCAAGUCGAACGGCAGCACAGUAAGAGCUUGCUCUUACGGGUGGCGAGUGGCGGACGGGUGAGGAAUACAUCGGAAUCUACUUUUUCGUGGGGGAUAACGUAGGGAAACUUACGCUAAUACCGCAUACGACCUACGGGUGAAAGCAGGGGAUCUUCGGACCUUGCGCGAUUGAAUGAGCCGAUGUCGGAUUAGCUAGUUGGCGGGGUAAAGGCCCACCAAGGCGACGAUCCGCAGCUGGUCUGAGAGGAUGGUCAGCCACACUGGAACUGAGACACGGUCCAGACUCCUAGGGGAGGCAGCAGUGGGGAAUAUUGGACAAUGGGCGCAAGCCUGAUCCAGCCAUACCGCGUGGGUGAAGAAGGCCUUCGGGUUGUAAAGCCCUUUUGUUGGGAAAGAAAAGCAGCAGGUUAAUACCCCGCUGUUCUGACGGUACCCAAAGAAUAAGCACCGGCUAACUUCGUG
rnacentral:rRNA from 1 species